UGCCCUUCCUACAAUGAGAAGCGCACGCGCCCUCUGGCGGAAACAGGAGGAAGCCACUUCCGAGACGGAAGCAGCUACUCCCUUUCAGUCACUAGGGCCAGAUGGAGAACCACUUGCAGACAGGGCUCAUCGACAUGAGCUUCCCCCACCUCAAGUCCAGGUCCUUGGCACCCUAAGCUGAGCAUCUGUGAUGGCGUUACAUGUUCAGGGUUAGCCGGACACUGGAGCUAACUCCUGGAACUGAAAUGAAGCUUUCCCAGGACUUAGCUAAGCCAAAUACAGGAAAUGAGUAUAUGCUA